AUUGAACGCUGGCGGCAGGCCUAACACAUGCAAGUCGAGCGGAUGAAGGGAGCUUGCUCCUGGAUUCAGCGGCGGACGGGUGAGUAAUGCCUAGGAAUCUGCCUGGUAGUGGGGGAUAACGUCCGGAAACGGGCGCUAAUACCGCCUACGUCCUGAGGGAGAAAGUGGGGGAUCUUCGGAACUCACGCUAUCAGAUGAGCCUAGGUCGGAUUAGCUAGUUGGUGGGGUAAAGGCCUACCAAGGAGACGAUCCGUAACUGGUCUGAGAGGAUGAUCAGUCACACUGGAACUGGGACACGGUCCAGACUCCUACGGGAGGCAGCAGUGGGGAAUAUUGGACAAUGGGCGAAAGCCUGAUACAGCCAUGCCGCGUGUGUGAAGAAGGUCUUCGGAUUGUAAAGCACUUUAAGUUGGGGGGAAGGGCAGUAAGUUAAUACGUUGCUGUUUUGACGUUACCAACAGAAUAAGCACCGGCUAACUUCGUG
rnacentral:rRNA from 1 species